rnacentral:rRNA from 1 species
CGAUGAACCGCUUUCGGGCGGGGAUUAGUGGCGAACGGGUGAGUAACACGUGGGCAAUCUGCCCUGCACUCUGGGACAAGCCCUGGAAACGGGGUCUAAUACCGGAUAUGACCGUCUGCCGCAUGGUGGAUGGUGUAAAGCUCCGGCGGUGCAGGAUGAGCCCGCGGCCUAUCAGCUUGUUGGUGAGGUAGUGGCUCACCAAGGCGACGACGGGUAGCCGGCCUGAGAGGGCGACCGGCCACACUGGGACUGAGACACGGCCCAGACUCCUACGGGAGGCAGCAGUGGGGAAUAUUGCACAAUGGGCGAAAGCCUGAUGCAGCGACGCCGCGUGAGGGAUGACGGCCUUCGGGUUGUAAACCUCUUUCAGCAGGGAAGAAGCGAAAGUGACGGUACCUGCAGAAGAAGCGCCGGCUAACUACGUGCCAGCAGCCGCGGUAAUACGUAGGGCGCAAGCGUUGUCCGGAAUUAUUGGGCGUAAAGAGCUCGUAGGCGGCUUGUCACGUCGGUUGUGAAAGCCCGGGGCUUAACCCCGGGUCUGCAGUCGAUACGGGCAGGCUAGAGUUCGGUAGGGGAGAUCGGAAUUCCUGGUGUAGCGGUGAAAUGCGCAGAUAUCAGGAGGAACACCGGUGGCGAAGGCGGAUCUCUGGGCCGAUACUGACGCUGAGGAGCGAAAGCGUGGGGAGCGAACAGGAUUAGAUACCCUGGUAGUCCACGCCGUAAACGGUGGGCACUAGGUGUGGGCAACAUUCCACGUUGUCCGUGCCGCAGCUAACGCAUU